UACAGAGGGUGCGAGCGUUAAUCGGAUUUACUGGGCGUAAAGGGCGCGUAGGCGGUUAUGUAAGUGAGAUGUGAAAUCCCUGGGCUUAACCUAGGAACUGCAUCUCAUACUGCAAAGCUAGAGUAUUGUAGAGGGUAGUGGAAUUUCCGGUGUAGCGGUGAAAUGCGUAGAGAUCGGAAGGAACACCAGUGGCGAAGGCGGCUACCUGGACAAAUACUGACGCUGAUGCGCGAGAGCGUGGGGAGCAAACAGG
rnacentral:rRNA from 1 species